GACGAACGCUGGCGGCGUGCUUAACACAUGCAAGUCGAACGGAAAGGCCCUGCUUUUGUGGGGUGCUCGAGUGGCGAACGGGUGAGUAACACGUGAGUAACCUGCCCUUGACUUUGGGAUAACUUCAGGAAACUGGGGCUAAUACCGGAUAGGAGCUCCUGCUGCAUGGUGGGGGUUGGAAAGUUUCGGCGGUUGGGGAUGGACUCGCGGCUUAUCAGCUUGUUGGUGGGGUAGUGGCUUACCAAGGCUUUGACGGGUAGCCGGCCUGAGAGGGUGACCGGCCACAUUGGGACUGGAAUACGGCCCAGACUCCUACGGGAGGCAGCAGUGGGGAAUAUUGCACAAUGGGCGGAGGCCUGAUGCAGCAACGCCGCGUGCGGGAUGACGGCCUUCGGGUUGUAAACCGCUUUCGCCUGUGACGAAGCGUGAGUGACGGUAAUGGGUAAAGAAGCACCGGCUAACUACGUG
rnacentral:rRNA from 1 species